rnacentral:lncRNA from 1 species
GAUAAUCAGUUGGAUUAGUGGCGCAAAUCAGACACAAAAGAGAAACGAAACUUGUAAGGACCUGAAUAAGAAAUGGUCAUUGGGUUCUAGCUAGAGGCAGCCAGGCCCAUCAGACUAAGGGCACAUAACCAUAGAAGGGAUUUUUUUUAAAGUCAGAUUCUUCAAUUGCUAAUUUUUCACUCUCUUUCUAAAAACCCUUAUCCUAAAUAUUGCUCUGCCUUCUCUCUAAAAUACCACUCUUUUGAACCGUUCAAUCUUUGGUAAAGAAGGUACCUAAACACUCCUAACGUAGAAGGCUUCAUUCUGAACCGAUUACUUUCUCCUCCUUCCGGUAAGUGGUUCUCCUGUUUCCUCCAUUAUUUUCGAAACCUAGGGCUUGGGUUUUACUGAUCUCAUGCAGUUAGAACCUCCCCUUUUCUGAUUUCUAUUAUAUUCUAGCUUUAAGACCUGUUUUCCAUCGCCUCUUUGGUGAGUUGUAGGGUGUUGUUGUGCUCCUUUGGGUGUGUACUGUCUUAGGGCACUCGUAACAAGUGGUACUGUCAAGCUUUCCAGGUAAGGGGAGCUAAUUAUUUUCUUGGUUGAAUCUGUUUAAUGUUUUAUGCAUGUUGAAUUAAAAAAAAAAUAUGAUGUACUGUUGAGAAUGUAUUGUUAUUGUUUUAAGUAUUUGGUUUGGUAUGAACUGGAUUGAACAAAUUAUGAGCUGUGAAUGAUUCCUGUAUAUUAUUGAUGAAUGUAAUUUGUCUGGAAUGAGUAUUGAAUGUGAUUGACUUGUUUUAAGAAGGUCUUGGGUGAGACUUUAACUAGCAUUGCUAUGGGUACUAAUGGGGUGCAUGAGUGUUGUUUCAGAUUACUGUGGGAGGGGGGUAAAAUAUAAAAAUUGGGCGUCUGAGGUUUAGAGCACAACAUACUAGUUUAGGCAACUUAAAUAAAUUAAUUAGAACUUGUUGAGAGCCUUUCUUUGUUGGUAGGAUAGAGGAACCUUAAAAACCUGAGUUGGCACAUCCCUGAUCAUAGAGCAGCCGUGGCCUGGUCCAGUUAGUUGUGACUAGUCAUAUGUGCUGGCGCCGAAGGUGAGUCUGAUGCGUUCAGACAUCUGGGUCCUCUCCGGUGACCAAUUGGGGUGUAAGGAGGGUUGGGAGAAGGUAAGAU